rnacentral:rRNA from 1 species
GAUGAACGCUGGCGGCGUGCUUAACACAUGCAAGUCGAACGGAAAGGCUCCUGCUUGCAGGGGUACUCGAGUGGCGAACGGGUGAGUAACACGUGGGUGAUCUGCCCUGCACUUCGGGAUAAGCCUGGGAAACUGGGUCUAAUACCGGAUAGGACGAUGGUUUGGAUGCCAUUGUGGAAAGUUUUUCGGUGUGGGAUGUGCUCGCGGCCUAUCAGCUUGUUGGUGGGGUAAUGGCCUACCAAGGCGUCGACGGGUAGCCGGCCUGAGAGGGUGUACGGCCACAUUGGGACUGAGAUGCGACCCAGACUCCUACGGGAGGCAGCAGUGGAGAAUAUUGCACAAUGGGCGCAAGCCUGAUGCAGCAACGCCGCGUGGUGGAUGACGGCCUUCGGGUUGUAAUCUCCUUUCGCUAGGGACGAAGCGCAAGUGACGGUACCUGGAGAAGAAGCACCGGCUAACUACGUG